rnacentral:rRNA from 1 species
GUCGAACGAGAACCACCUUCGGGUGGGGAAAGUGGCGGACGGGUGAGUAACACGUAGGUGACCUGCCCUCGAGAAGGGGAUAACCCGCCGAAAGGCGAGCUAAUACCCUAUAAGCUCACGGGACUUAGAACCCUGUGAGAAAAGCUCCGACGCUCGAGGAGGGGUCUGCGGGCCAUCAGGUAGUUGGCGGGGUAACAGCCCACCAAGCCAGUGACGGCUAGGGGACCUGAGAGGGUGAUCCCCCACACGGGAACUGAGAAACGGUCCCGACUCCUACGGGAGGCAGCAGUAAGGGAUAUUGCACAAUGGGCGCAAGCCUGAUGCAGCAACGCCGCGUGCGCGAUGAAGGCCUUCGGGUCGUAAAGCGCUUUUCUGGCUGAAGAGGAAGGACAGUAAGCCAGGAAUAAGUGUCGGCUAACUACGUGCCAGCAGCCGCGGUAAAACGUAGGACGCAAGCGUUAUCCGGAGUUACUGGGCGUAAAGCGCGGGCAGGCGGUUCUCCAAGUCUGAUGUGAAAUCUCUCCGCUCAACGGAGAGCAGCCAUUGGAAACUAGAGAACUGGAGUCUGACAGAGGUAGGCGGAAUUCCGGGUGGAGUGGUGAAAUGCGUAGAGAUCCGGAGGAACACCAGAGGCGAAUGCGGCCUACUGGGUCAGUACUGACGCUGAGCCGCGAAAGCCAGGGGAGCGAACGGGAUUAGAAACCCCGGUAGUCCUGGCCGUAAACGAUGUGUGCUGGGUGGGGGGGGGGUUCCCUUCACUGCCGAA